CCUACGGGAGGCAGCAGUGGGGAAUAUUGCGCAAUGGGCGAAAGCCUGACGCAGCGACGCCGCGUGAGGGAUGAAGGUCUUCGGAUCGUAAACCUCUGUCAGCAGGGAAGAACGGUCACUGUGCUAAUCAGCAGUGAAUUGACGGUCCCUGCAAAGGAAGCACCGGCUAACUCCGUGCCAGCAGCCGCGGUAAUACGGAGGGUGCGAGCGUUAAUCGGAAUUACUGGGCGUAAAGCGCUCGUAGGCGGUAUGUCAAGUCAAGGGUGAAAUCCCCGCGCUCAACGUGGGAACUGCCUUUGAAACUGGCAAACUGGAGUGUGUGAGAGGAUAGUGGAAUGCCAGGUGUAGGAGUGAAAGCCGUAGAUAUCUGGAGGAACAUCAGUGGCGAAGGCGACUAUCUGGCACAUAACUGACGCUGAGGAGCGAAAGCGUGGGUAGCAAACAGGAUUAGAUACCCUUGUAGUC
rnacentral:rRNA from 1 species